AGCUGUUGCUGUCCCUUUUCUUCUUCUCUGUGAUGGACCUGCUCUGCUCACAUCUGACCCCGAAUGGUGCCAGCGACUCCCUGAAGGCUUUCGGCGUUUGUUCCGAGAUCCUCGCCUCCCUGGGGGAGAGGAAGAUGCCCUGGCUGGCGCUCUUUCAGUUGACGGAGACAGGUAGGAAACCCACGCGAGGUUUGACACCCAGGUCCAGUGGGGCCGGACCGCGGUCCGGUGGUUAACGUGGCCAGGUCCCGACAGCCAACGACCUGCUUUAUGGCCUGGACCCGGUGGCUUGAGCAACACACCCGGCGCGUGUACCCCAAAUCCCAGCAGAUUGUGCAUGGCCGUCCCCCAGGGUUUUUCCCUGAAGAUGUGCCAGAGUACGUACUCACCAGAGACCCAGAGGGGAGAAAGCCCUGGGGGCCUGACCACACUGUACUCCCUUCUCCACCAGCCGGGCUCUCGGGCAUGCACACGCACACUUGGCGUGUUUUCACACUACCAGAGUCGGGGUUCAGACCAUGUGGUUGGCCGUCAGGUCAGCCCUGCCUGGCACUUACUCCUCUGCCCCUCCAGUGAGCACACAUGCCCUCUGGCCAAUU